rnacentral:rRNA from 1 species
AUUGAACGCUGGCGGCAUGCUUUACACAUGCAAGUCGAACGGUAACAGGCCUUCGGGUGCUGACGAGUGGCGAACGGGUGAGUAAUGCAUCGGAACGUGCCCAAUCGUGGGGGAUAACGUAGCGAAAGUUACGCUAAUACCGCAUAAGCCCUGAGGGGGAAAGUGGGGGACCGCAAGGCCUCACGCGAAUGGAGCGGCCGAUGUCAGAUUAGCUAGUUGGUGGGGUAAAGGCCCACCAAGGCGACGAUCUGUAGCGGGUCUGAGAGGAUGAUCCGCCACACUGGGACUGAGACACGGCCCAGACUCCUACGGGAGGCAGCAGUGGGGAAAUUUGGACAAUGGGGGAAACCCUGAUCCAGCCAUUCCGCGUGAGUGAAGAAGGCC